AUUUUUAUAGUGUAAUAAACACUUUACUUUUUCAAAGUAAAACUAAAGUAUAAACUUUUAAAAAUA
rnacentral:tRNA from 1 species